rnacentral:rRNA from 1 species
ACGGGUGAGUAAUGCAUCGGAACGUGCCCAGUAGUGGGGGAUAGCCCGGCGAAAGCCGGAUUAAUACCGCAUACGACCUACGGGUGAAAGGGGGGGAUCGCAAGACCUCUCGCUAUUGGAGCGGCCGAUGUCAGAUUAGGUAGUUGGUGGGGUAAAGGCCUACCAAGCCGACGAUCUGUAGCUGGUCUGAGAGGACGACCAGCCACACUGGGACUGAGACACGGCCCAGACUCCUACGGGAGGCAGCAGUGGGGAAUUUUGGACAAUGGGCGCAAGCCUGAUCCAGCCAUGCCGCGUGCGGGAAGAAGGCCUUCGGGUUGUAAACCGCUUUUGUCAGGGAAGAAAUCUUCUGAGUUAAUACCUCGGGAGGAUGACGGUACCUGAAGAAUAAGCACCGGCUAACUACGUGCCAGCAGCCGCGGUAAUACGUAGGGUGCAAGCGUUAAUCGGAAUUACUGGGCGUAAAGCGUGCGCAGGCGGUUAUGUAAGACAGAUGUGAAAUCCCCGGGCUCAACCUGGGAACUGCAUUUGUGACUGCAUAGCUUGAGUGCGGCAGAGGGGGAUGGAAUUCCGCGUGUAGCAGUGAA